UACAGAGGUCCCGAGCGUUGUUCGGAUUCACUGGGCGUAAAGGGUGCGUAGGUGGCUUGGUAAGUUUGAUGUGAAGCUCAGGGCUCAACCCUGAAAUGGCAUUGAAUACUACUGAGCUGGAGGUUUGGAGGGGGGACUGGAAUUCUCGGUGUAGCAGUGAAAUGCGUAGAUAUCGAGAGGAACACCAGUGGCGAAGGCGAGUCCCUGGACAACACCUGACACUGAGGCACGAAAGCGUGGGGAGCGAACAGG
rnacentral:rRNA from 1 species